UCAGGCCUGUCGUCCAGGACUUAAGAGUUGGCUCCAGGCGGCAACGGGGAUGCAGAAGCGAGCGAGCCUGCGAGAGCACCAAGGCUAGCCUCCGAGGCGAACCCCAGAAACGCCAGGACGGGUAACUUGCCCCUUUGCGCUUCCCUGCUCGGCCCACUCAGGUUGCGGCUGGGAAUGACCCUCGCCGCCCGCCGUUCUUCUUCCGGAAGUAGUUGGCCGUUACCAUAGCGACUGCAGGCGUCCGGAGCGCUGAGCAGAGUCCCAGCUGCUAGGGAGGCUGAGGCAGGAUCGCUUGAGCCUGGGAAGUGGAGGUUGGAGGGAGCCGUGAUUGUACCACUGCACUCCAGCCAGGGCAGCAGAGCAAGACUCCAUCUCAAAAAUAAUUGUCCAUUUCAUCCAAGUUGUAUAAUUUGUUGGCAUAAAAUUGUUCAAAGGAUU
rnacentral:lncRNA from 1 species